AUUCUUGUGGCCAACGGGCUUCCAAGGUGGAUUAGGUUUGCAAAAACAAAAUUGAACCCUAAGAAUAGUGACGUAGCCGCGCGAGUACUGCUGGAGGAUGUUUGUAACAGAACGAACCGCCAUCGGGCCGCGUGGUCGCAUUUCUAGUUCUUUUGUACAGUGAACAUGUUGUCCGAGGACAUAAUGAAGCUGCUGGCGGUCGUCGUGUCCGGGGGAGGAGUGUUGCGAUCCGACAGCAAACCAUCAGCGCGCUGCUUCACGUAUUGGUGCUGAUAUCGGAAAUGGUGGGGAACUUCGCCACCCUGUUGCUGGUCAAUACAUAGUCCUAGUCUUAACGUAUAGUUUUUAAAUCAAUUCGCCUGGACGAGUGAAGAAACCCACGGCCUCUCCGCGUCUUGAGCAGAGACCGAAGCUCCCGCGCGUCCCGGCGUGGUGCUCGUGGCCCGGCCUCACUCCUGGGGUCGAAGUUUUGAAUACUAAUUGGGAUGGAAGCCGAGAUAAUUCAAGGUUGUCGCCAUGUCUGACAGCGGAUGGUUUUAGUUAUAUUAGAUUUGGUUAGAUUCGUUUACAAUGAAUAUUCUACUUUGUCGUAGAAUAAAAUGUAAUUAAUUGCGGAAGCGCUGCCAUUGUUCGUACUGUUAAUGUUUAUUAAUAAGGAUUUACAUUUUAUGUUGUCAUUUGUUAUGUGGGAAUAAAUAUUUAAGAAUUA